CUAGCAAGUCAUCUCCAACAAAAAGAAUUUUAAAUGGAAACCCCGAAACCAGACGAGCUACCUCAAGACACUACACGUAAACUCCUCUCUGUGGCAAAAUAGAGGAAAGAUCUUGAAGUAGUAGGUGACAAGCCUAACGAGCCUGGAUAUAGCUGGUUACUUGAAAAGUGAAUUUAAGUUCAAUUAAAGGAAAAUUUAUCAACAAGAAAAAUCUACACCUUUAUUAUAACCAAUUAGGGUACAGCCUAAUUAGUAAGGGAAACAACCCACACAAAUGAAUAAUGAUUAUAUGUUACUAAGAAUAUAUAGCCUUGUGGGCUUAAAAGCAGCCAUCAUAGUAAUAUCGUCAAAGAUUAACUCACAUAUAUUCUACUAUUUCAAUAAAUUAUCUGAAUUCACCCCCCCCCCAUCAAGUUAAUCUAUCUUUAGAUAAGUUAUUUCUAGGAUGAGUAAUAAGGACAAACCUCUAUAAUACAAGUGUAAAUCAGAACGGAUAUGCCGCUGAUAAUUAACGAACAUUUAUUUAUAUAAUCAAGAAUAUAAAUUUUUUUAACCGUAAGCCCAACACAGGAGUAUUAAAGAAAGACUAAAAGUAUGGAAAGGAACUCGGCAAAUCAGGCUUC
rnacentral:rRNA from 1 species